GCACCGCCCCAAAAACCUCUAGUGCCCAAAAAUACCCAAUCCCAAGUUCCCUUCCCAACCCCAAAAUCCCAAUUCACAAACAAAAACCCCUCAACCAAAAAGAAAAAAAAGAAAAAACUCCAUGUGCUUGACCCGUGGCCAGUGAGAUCAUACAAGGCUACAAGCUACACCUCACUCCCUCACUUCCAUCUCCUUCAGUCCUCUCUCUCUCUCGUCGUCCUCCUCCCCCAACAAAUCUUCAUUCUCUCUCAACACAUUUACACCUUUUCCCCACCUUUUAUAAUUAACUCCAACAGCUCCACCAGCCCUUGCCUCUCUCUCUCUCUCUCUCUCUCUCUCUCUCUCUCUCUCUCUAUGCAACACAAGAAAAGUGGAGCAACAACAACACCCAACAGCAUUCACAAACAAACCCUAGAGCUAGAGCUACACUGACACACAUUUCCACAAUGGCACAUCCAUAGCCAUUGAAUUAAGCAACCAUUCAACCUCAAAGCCUCAACCUUUGACCCAGUUGAGCUCAGACCUCUCAAAUCCCCCACUCACACUCUUCAUUUGAAUUCACCAUGGGAACCUGCACUUCAAAGCCACCAAAACCCAACCCAUAUUCCUCCAGAGACCCAAACGACCAAACCAACCCUUCACAAACCCCAAAAUCCCUCCCAUCCCUCACCCCUCACCACCACAAGGACGACGUCAUUUCCCGGCAGUCCCAGUCCCAGUCCCCCUUCUUCCCCUUCUACAGUCCGAGCCCCGCCCAUUACCUCAAGAAGUCGUCUCCGGCGAGGACCAAGAGCGCCACUUCCACUCCCAGCCGCUUUUUCCGGCGACCCUUUCCGCCGCCGUCGCCGGCCAAACACAUAAAGGCUGUGCUGGCUCGGCGGCUCGGCAAAAAGGCCUCGGCUUCGGUGGCGAUACCGGAGGAUGCUGAGGACGAAGAUGGGGUUGAGCUGGACAAGAGGUUUGGGUUUUCUAAGGAGUUAACAAGCCGAUUGGAGGUUGGCGACGAAGUGGGUCGAGGGCAUUUUGGGUAUACUUGCUCUGCUAGGUUCAAGAAGGGUGAGUUUAAGGGUCAGCAGGUUGCUGUCAAGGUCAUCCCCAAAUCAAAGAUGACAACUGCCAUUGCAAUCGAGGAUGUGAGAAGGGAGGUCAAGAUAUUGCGUGCCUUGACGGGACAUAGCAAUCUAGUUCAGUUCUAUGAUGCAUUUGAAGACAGUGAUAAUGUCUACAUAGUAAUGGAGUUAUGCGAAGGUGGGGAGCUUUUAGAUAGAAUACUUUCAAGGGGCGGGAAAUACUCGGAAGAUGAUGCGAAGACUGUCAUGGUUCAAAUACUGAAUGUUGUUGCGUUUUGUCAUCUUCAGGGUGUGGUGCAUCGGGAUCUUAAGCCAGAGAACUUUUUGUAUUCCGCUAAGGAUGAGAAUUCCCAGUUGAAAGCCAUUGAUUUUGGCUUAUCAGAUUUUGCCAAACCAGAUGAGAGGCUUAAUGAUAUUGUUGGAAGUGCAUACUAUGUCGCACCUGAGGUUCUACAUAGAUCUUAUAGUACAGAGGCUGAUGUUUGGAGCAUAGGUGUAAUAGCAUAUAUUCUUUUAUGUGGUAGUCGCCCAUUUUGGGCCCGGACUGAGUCUGGGAUUUUUCGAGCGGUGUUGAAAGCUGAUCCCAGUUUUGAUGAAGCACCUUGGCCGUCUUUAUCUCCUGAAGCAAAGGACUUUGUUAAACGCUUAUUGAACAAGGACCCUCGGAAACGAAUGACAGCAGCGCAGGCUUUAAGUCAUCCUUGGAUCAGGAAUUAUAAUGAUGUAAAAGUGCCUCUUGAUAUUUUAAUAUUUAGACUCAUGAAGGUUUAUAUGCGAUCAUCAUCACUUCGAAAGGCUGCUUUAAGGGCCUUAUCUAAGACAUUGACUGUGGAUGAGCUCUUUUAUCUGAAGGAGCAUUUGCACUAUUGGAGCCAAACAAAAAUGGCACUAUAACUCUUGACAAUAUUAGAAUGGCCCUGAUGAAAAAUGCUACAGAUGCAAUGAAGGAGUCUCGCAUUCCUGAUCUCAUUGCAUCGCUAAAUGCACUUCAAUACAGAAGAAUGGAUUUUGAAGAGUUCUGUGCAGCUGCAUUAAGUGUUCAUCAGCUGGAGGCACUUGAUCGUUGGGAACAACAUGCACGAUGUGCAUAUGAACUUUUCGAGAAGGAUGGAAACAGGGCAAUUGUCAUUGAAGAACUUGCUUCAGAACUUGGACUUGGUCCCUCAAUUCCGCUUCAUGUGGUUCUCCAUGACUGGAUUAGGCACACUGAUGGGAAGCUAAGCUUCCUUGGCUUUGUGAAGUUGUUGCAUGGUGUGUCCAGCCGGACGUUUGUGAAAGCAUAGUGAAGUUAUAGAACAUUAUUUGGGUAUGCGUUUUAACCAAACGAGAUGUGCUAUGUGUUGAUAGACGACGUGCAUCCAAUGAUUGAUUUUCAAGAUUUGGAGAUCUGAUAAGAUGGCCAAUUUACAAUCUGCUUUGGCACAUAGAAAGAGCCUUCCGUGCCAAUUUGGGGAGAGAGGCUUGAACUUCCCGCACACUGCAGGUGCAAGCCUGGUUACCAGUUUGAAUGCUGUGUUGUUGAUAUUCAGAGUGUAAAGCUGUAGUUAGUUUGCCUAAAUGGGUAAUUACAUAUUCUUCAACUCCUUAGAUGCAUUGUACACGUUAAAUUAUCCUCGUCUCCCCCAACAUCUGUCCAGUUACUGUGAAACAUGCUUGAAUGAAUUGCCUCAGUAUUGGAAAACUCCUCUGUGGCUUCAAUUGAAAACCAAGCUUACAAAGAGUGUGGUAACUAAAAA